CAGGGGCUGACCCCAGUCCUCGCCCGCCCCUUUGGUAUGUGGCCCACACGGGGAGACGGCAGGAAGCUCAGACCGUGGCCCCCAACAGCAAGGCGUCAUAGUUGUGGAAACAGCCAGGACCGGAAAUUAGUGAGGCUGAUUAGGAAAGUCAACUUGGCUUGACUCGAGAAGUCUCAUUGGGAGAUGACUGUUGCCACCAAGGACACAGGGAGGACACAGAGUCGAGACUCACCCUCACCUGCUCGAGGCAGGCCCGGAUGCCAAGGAUGGUGACUGUGAGUUGUCCUCCGGGUGCCUCUCCUCCAAGCCUCACUGGCAGGUGGACCAAGAGACCGGCGGGGGCUGGUCUGCUCGGACACAGACUCUGUCACAAGGUCAUGGAUCCUCCACCAGUGCCUAUUCUGUGGAUGAAUUAGGCCUGCAAACCCUGAGCUUGGCUCUUGGGGACAAGGUCAAUCCUUCCCCCACCUCCUAUGAGGUGUGAUUGUUGGAAAUACGUGCAUCUAUCAAAAGGACAUGAAAUGCCUGCUCAGAGCCUGCAUCCCUUCCAGAAAAUACUUCAGAAGGAGCUGUACCAUCAUCCCAAGCCCAUUGUGGAUUCCGCUGGUAAAACUGGUAGCUUCUUGCCUGGAAGGUCCUUGGCUGAGACUUUAGAGUUCCCAGGUCCCUCUACUAGUGUGCUCCUUGCCAAGGACUAAGGACUUGCCUCUCAGAGCCUGCAUUCCUUCCAGAAAAUUCUUCAGGUAACGAGGCCCUGAAAUUCCCCAUCCUGUAGGUCCCAACCCUGCUCCUGUGCUGCCAGGCUAAGCCCCCCACCUGGGUGGGUCCUAAGUCAACAUGACGAUGUGCUUAUAAGAAGACAGCCAUGUGAAGACAGAGACGGGGGGACCCUGUGAGAAGCUUGAGAAAUGCCUCUCCAAGGAAAGGAGUGGCCAGGAUUGGAGGCCAUUGCCAGUGCUGACCUCUGCCACAGCCUCAGAAGGAAUCAGCACCAGGGAAUACAUCUCUGUUGUUAAACCCAGCCAGCAUGUGGUCACUUGUUACUGCAGACCUAGCCAGGGAUACCUGGCCUUUCACACCAUCAAGAAGGUGUCAAGGGAGAGGACAGAAGAAUUUUUUAAAAACCUUUGAAUAAAGUUUAUCAUCUUGGUUUUAGAGUUUUUAUUUUUUUUUAAGAGUUAGGCUCAGUGGCCUUCUUUGUCACUCUUGCUCAAGUCUUGCGUGUGGUGGGGUGAGCUGGUAGGCUUUCUGGGUUCCCCCAGCUCUUGCUGAGGACUCAGCCUCCCUCUGUGCGCCCUGCCAAUGCCCACUCACCUCCUUGGCAGCUCCAGCCUUUCCAUGCUGUGCCCCACCCCCAGUCUUUUCCCUGUGUCUGAAGCAGUGCUGCCAAUAAGAUUUUUUGUGUUGAAGAGAAUGUUCUUUAUCCACACUAUUCAAUAUGGCGGCCACCAACUACAUUGGUGGCUAUUGAGCACUGGGGAUGUGGCUGUUGUGACCUAGAAACUGGAAUUUAGAAAUUACUUAGUAAAAGUGUUAAUCAGGCUCAUGGGGAUAGUGGCUGCCAUAUUGGAUAGUACAGAUUUAUGCGGCAAAGCCAAACAAAAUUUCUGUUUGAUGGAUUUGGUAUGACAGUAGAGGACUAUGUUCUAUCUGCCAUCUUUACCUUAGUAUCUCUUGCAAGUCUCAAUUUUAUUUCAAAGAGAUCUUAGAACUAAAUCAGCAGUAGUGAGUUAAAGAAAAGAAAGUACUGGUUCUGUACAGCUGGGCCCUGUCAUGAGGGAGGCAGCCUUUGUGGCUGUCCUUCCUGUCACAGGCUGAGACAGGUCGGGGAGAAAGGAGCUGUUUGUGAAUUACUUGGGGUCUUUGGAGAGCUGGCCCCAUGGGCUGGUCUCAGUCUCUUCCAGGUGGGCUCACAGCCUCCAGGGACAACACUGGCUAACCUGGGGACUCCUAGCCACCCAAGUUGAUCUCCCAGGCCCUGCGGCCACAGGCUGCUAGAAAACAGAUUGGGUUGGUAAAAAUAUGUGUGUGUGUUCUCAGGGAACCUGAGAAAAUCACACCUCCACUUUGACAAAAAAAUCUGUUUGUGCCGCUCCAAUAAUCACUUGGUGGCUGGUGGGAUAGCGGGCCAUAUGUCUGUGAAGUGGCUAGCCCAGGAGACACUCUACCUCCACCGCGCUUUGCAAAAUACCUUUCUCUAGCUCAUCAGUUUCAGAAUAGAAAGAAAUGAAGCCACUGGCCUUGGCUUCCAAGCACCAAGCAGGAGAACAUUGGCUCCUGGAGAGGGAGAGUGGGCCUGAUGGACGGCCUCGGGUGUCUGUGACGCCUGCGGGCUUGGGGGUGAAUGCAGCCAGCAACAUUUUUAAGUUUGUCGGGGGUAAGGGAAGAUGCUGGCACCCAGAGAGCAGGAAGCAGUCCUUGAGUGAGCGAGGAAGGCUCCAUCUGCAGAAGCAGGACUGUUUGGGGGUGAUUUCGCCUCCUGGGAACGCGGCUUCCAUCUCCAGGAAGUGGUGUGUCUGAGAACCUCGCGGGGCUCAUGAUGUUCCAUCUUGUAACAGGAGGAGGCACCUGUCCAUUGCAAGACUUGCUCUUUCUCUAUGUCCCUGUCCCUUGUCUGGUGUCAGCUGUUCUGGGAUAAUGAGCACCCUGCCCACAGCUGCUUCCCGCUCGAGCCUGCCUCUUCGGCUAGCUUUGGGACCUCAGGCAGAUACGAUGCUGUAGGUCUUGAUGUUCUCACACGUGACCCUGAAGAAUAGCCCCAGACGACAUCAAGAAAUGCAGCAAAAGCUGGGUGCGGUGGCCCACGCCUGUAAUCCCAGCGGCUCUCAAGUUCAAAGCCAGCCUCAGCAAUUUAUCUAGGUCCUAAGCAACCCAGCAAGACCCUGUCUCUAAAUGCAAUAUUAAAAAGGGUUGGGCAUGUUGCUUAGUGAUUAAGCCCCUCUGGGUUCAAUCCCAGGUACAAAAAAAAAAAGCAAACAUUUAAACAAGUAGUUGACGCCCAUGUCCAUUUUAGUUUUAUAUUAAAAAUCUGGGUUUUCAGUUUUCUGUGUGUUGUAAUCAAGAUGCCCCCUCCUCCUUUCAUUAAUAAAGUUCUGAUGACUGUGGGGCCUUAGGUCAAUAGCUCUGCUGAAGAUCUGAUUUGGGGACGUGGUCUCAGCCAGUCUUGAGCUGCCCUGAGCUACCAAUGCUUGCUGAUUCUGGGGUCCUGCUCGAGCACCUUUCCAUCCCCCCAAGGCAAGAGGAGACCCUGGUGGAGCUCUGUGCACAUCAGCUUCCUGGUGCUGCUGGCCCCCUGUGGCUGCUGGGGGGCUGGAGUACGGUGCCCGAGAAGCAUUGCCUGGAGGCCACCCCCCAGAGCCCCGCUGGCUCCUACCUGAACUGGGGAGGCUCCCAUGUCCUUCUACUCCUGCCUCCCAGAGGGCCACCCGUUCAGUCUGCAGAUCUGACCCACCUCCUCCUGCUAACCCCCUGCUCUGGGGAGAUAGUCCUGGCUGGAUCCUCUCCACUUCUCCCAGCUGAACGCAGCUUUCUUUCCAGUCUCGUCCCCCAUAGGCAGCACUGCUGCAAGCCCCCGCCUCUGUCUACACGCUCUCUCUCCCGGAAAAGACCCAGAGCCCAGCCAGCGUCAGCUCAAGAGGCACCACUAUGACCUGUCUUUACACACUGCACCACAGGCAGAGUCUGAGGCUACCUCUGCUGGGUGUCCAAAACUUCCAUACACCUGGAUUAGAACAUUCUGGAAUUUUUAUCUGUAUGUUUUCUUUUUUAAGGCAGGAUCUUAAUAUGUUGCCCAGGCUGGCCUCCAGCUUAUGAUCCUUCUGCCUUGGCCUCCCCAGUAACUCAGAUAAUAGGCACGUGCCACUGUACCUGGCCACUCGUGGCAUUUUCUUGUAACUGCUUUUUAGAGCCUGACUUUCCCCACUAGAUAGGUUAAGGGUGUCACUGUGUGCCAGUCACUGGGCCAAGAACUGGAGAGUGCCACCAUCUGUGAGAAAGGUACUAGUGUAAUUUCUAUUUAAAAUUAUAACGGGGAGACUGAGGCACAAAGAGGUUAAGGAACUUGCCUGAGCUCCCACAGCCAGCAAGUUCCAAGGCCGUGGGUGGGACUGCUCUGCUUUAUCCUCUGUGGCCCACAUUGUACCUCCUGAAUGCUGGUCCUCAGUGCAUGCUCACUAAGGGCCUGUGGUGCGCUCUUGGGGAUGAGUUCUGUUCUCAGUUUUCCUCCAUCCUCUUGUACCUGCUUCCACCUCGGCUUCCCUUAGAAAUCCCCCUACUUCCCCUUCCUGGUGAAUUUCUUAAUUGUAAGGUUUUCACCAUACUUUGUUGAAAUUUGAUUUUGUUCCUAAAAGUGAGCACUGUUCCUCUUACCUAGUCACUCCCAGGGGUGCCAGCGCUGCCUGGGAUACUUUGAUUGGCUCCCUUAGGAUCUGAUGGCACUCGGCUCGGAGGCCAUGCGGGGAGACGGUUUCCGGGACAUUCCAUUGCCGUCUGUGCAAAGCUGACGUCAUUGAGGAGAUGCCACUAACACCUGCUCCCUGAGUACUUUCCCCAACAUCUCUUUAAAGCAUGCACUUUGAAGCUCUGUACCCUGAAUGGCUGCCAUGUGUGGGGAAGCAGAGGGGAUGCUGUCCUAGGGCGGUCCUGACAGUGCCACAGACCGGGUGGCUUCAACAGACGAACUUGUCCUCUUAGCACCUGGACGCUAGAAGUGCAAGGCCAAGCGCCAGCAGCGUGGCUCUCUCCAGAGGCCUCUCUCCCUCUUGCAUGUGGCAUCCUCUUUCUGUGUCCUCACGUGGUCAACCCCUGUGCAUGUCAAUGUCCUAAUCUCUUCCUAACAAGGACACAGAUUGCAUCAGGGUCCACCCUCGUGACCUCGGUUAACUUUCAUAGGCUUGAAAAGCUCUGUCUCCAAAUGCAGUCCCCUUUUGGGCUACCAGGAGCUAGAGUUCAACACAGGGAUCUUGGAAGACACAUGUCAGCCCCAAAGGACGCUGGACGAAGCUCUGGCGGUUCCCGGCUCUGCACCCAGCAUUCUGUGGCCUCAGCAAAUCCCUGCCCCUCUGGAUGUCCGUUUCCUUAUUAUGAAGGCAGAGGGUCCGACAGGGUCACCCUGGGCCCUCACAGCUAAGCCUCACUGAGUGGCGUGGUGAAGGACACACUGCUCCCAUGACCCGGGCAACAGGGAGUUUUCACCCAUCAAGGCCACUAAUCCCGUGAGCGCUGAUGUUUCUCAACAUUUGACAACAAACUUUAUGAUCCCCGUUGGCAGGUGAAGUGCUUCUCCUCAGCCGGAGCGGCCAGCCGCAGUGCCCAGGCUGGACACAUCCCGGGGGAAGCCAGGUAACUGAACAGAAUCUUCACUUUGUUAUCCACAAAACUGCCACACUGACACCCAGGAGGAGCCGUAAGGACAGAUGAGGCCUUGGGAUGCAGAGCCAGAUGGCAGCCCGGCCUUACUUGGCUAGUUGGAGUGUCCAUUGAUCUGGGUCAGACUGGCUGUGCCUGCGUGAGGGGAUCUUCUUGUCGAGACACUGUGUUAGCUCUUCUUGAGCCCAGCGUGGUCAUCUUCAUUUUUUCUUUGAGGCUGUUGCAGAUCAAGUGGAGGCCAUCACGGCUUACAGUUGAAGGUCACUCAAAUUAUAAGAGAACAAGGGAAGACACUAGGACUGCUGUACCCAGGGACCAGGCUUGCUCUUCAGUCAGCGUCUCAUGGACUUGCCUGCAGGAACCUGUGUCAGCCCUGCAAUGGCCACUGUGGCCCUGGGGCCUCUCCAGUGCGUUGCUGGGCAUCCGAGCGUGCUAGCUUACAUUCGGUAUGGAUACACUGUGCAUACGUCUAGUUAGCGGGGUUGCUGUGUUAUUGAGGGGUGCUCUCCACAUUUGUAACACCAUUUACGUGUGAUCCACUUAGAAGAAGCGUGACACAGCCCAGUGGGGCCUGAUUACUUAGGGGUUAUUUUGCAUAUUUCCAAUGUUCGCAAAGGACCAGUGUAUUCUCUGGUCGUGGGAAAAAGUAAAUUGACGGAGAAUGUCCCCAGCUGGAAUUCCAGCAGGCAACAGAAGUUUGGUUUGUGAGAGGUGACAAGGGACAGGCCGGUGAAAUCAACUGCUGCUCUGUCUGCAACUCUCUGUGUCCUGCAAUUCCCCCGAGCACCUGAGGUCCUCGUGGCUUCGGGAUGGGCCUUAACAGGGCAGGAGUUUUCUCCUUUGACAGUGGACUUUGCUCUCUUCUCCACCCGCAGGGAACAACAGAGUUGUCAGAUCAGCAGGGAGUUGUGUGAGGUUUUGCCCUGAGGAGGUGCAAUCAGAAGGACUUGUACUUUGCUCUUCCCCACAGGCAAAUGCCUUCCCAGGACAGAGGGCAGGUAAACAGAAACUCCAAAAUGCAUGUGACCUUGCAACCUUUGCUUUGGGCUUCUGCUUGAAUUGUGCCGACUGGGGGCAGAUGUAGCAAAAUCCAAGGGACACACACCUCAACAUGUGAGAAGGGGUGCCCUCCCGUCCUGACACGUAGGAAUCUUGGCACCACCCACAGAACUGGUAGUACUUAGCACACGGCUGGGGCCGAGAAUGUCUCCCGGACUGUUUUGGAGAGUCGGCUUGUAGGUGGUAAGACCAAAGGCUGCCAGGGCAACAGAACAGGAAGACGCCGGUUUUGGUAGUUUUGAAUCUUGUUCUGACACAGACCCAGUGACUGUUAUGGGCUAAAUUCUGCCUGCCCCCCCCCCCCCACACCAUCUCCAUUCACAUGUUGAAGCCCUAACCCCCAAAUGUGGGGGUAUUCAGAGAUAGUUUUGGCGUGGUGAUGGAAGUCAAGUGAGGUUGUAAGGAAGGGGUCCAAAUGUGAUGGAAUUGGUGACAUUAUGAGAAGGGUAAGGAAGAGAGAGAGGAGAGAAGGGGGGGGAAAGGGAGAGAAUUCUCUCUGUGAGGAUGUAGCAGGAAAGCAGGUGUCUGUAAGCCAGGAGGAGGUCCUGCAUCAGACCCCAAGUUUGCCCAAACUUGGGUCUUGCCCUUCCAGGCUCCAGAACUGUGAAAAAAUGAAUAGGUGUUGCUUAAGCCACCCCAUGUGUGGCCCUGGUUCCGACAGUCCAAGUCAGCAACAUGGUGACUUGAGACAGUGUUCCACCUCUGGGUGCUUCUCAGCAACCUCUUUAUGUCACAUGAAGCUCAUCACCCUGGCCUUGAAGGUGGUCGACGUGCAGUGGAAUGACAUUUGCAACACGACUGUCUCACCGAGGAUGCACAUGAAAGCUGUUUUCUGCUGGUCUGUGACCUCCCACCACCAAGGCCACACCUUAUCCAUUUCUGUGCUCUGACGCCUGACACAGGGGAGGUUCUCAGUACAUGUCAGCUGAAGAAUGGACGGAGGGUGGACAGACCAGUGGGGGCCGGUGCAGUGAGCUGCUGGGGUGCCCUGGUUGGCUGUAGUGAGCCCGUUAGUCACAAAUAGUUGUGACAGGGAAUCCCUGGGCAUGGGGGCGCAUGGCCCUGCCCAGAUGGAAACCCAGCCCAAGGCUUGCCCUGAGGAAAGCCAAGAACCAAUCUCAACGAGGAGAAAUGUUCCCCACAUAUUUUCUAGGCAUUGUUCCACUGGGAUCCUUGACUCAGCCUCUCUCCUCAGGAGGAGGGAGCAGAGGAGGAGACUGAGCCACCAGGGAAGGCCAUGGGUGGGGCCUCCCCUGGCCUCCAGGUCGCUGGGCAGGCUGGACCCUGCUACUUACAUGCUGGUGAUCCCACUCAGGUUAAUCAACCUGCCUGAGCCUCAGUUUCUUCAUCUGGAAAAUCGGGAUAGAAGCCCAAGGUCGCAGGGUGUUUGUGAGACUGACGUGCUGUGGCGAAUGCCAGUGUCAAAUGCUGCUUGUGGGAGCUUUGAGGCUCUGUGCUCCGUGUCACUGAGCCAGGGACCUUGUCCAGGGCAGCCCAGGAGGCUGGCCCCCUGGACGCAUCAAGGAAAGACAAGAGGCUCUGCUGUGGUGCUGUGCGGGCAGCUUGGGCCUAGAGGCCCCCCGGCUCAUCGGGCAAGUGCUGUCCCUGCUGCUCACCUCCCUUUCUGCUGCAUUUCCCACCCUUAGGAGCUGCCUGGGAUUCCCGCCCGUCCUGCCUGCCUGCCUGCCCCGGGUCCUGGGCCACUC